rnacentral:rRNA from 1 species
GACGAACGCUGGCGGCGUGCCUAACACAUGCAAGUCGAACGGAAAGGCCCUGCUUUGGUGGGGUGCUCGAGUGGCGAACGGGUGAGUAACACGUGAGUAACCUGCCCUUGACUUUGGGAUAACUUCAGGAAACUGGGGCUAAUACCGGAUAGGAGCUCCUGCUGCAUGGUGGGGGUUGGAAAGUUUCGGCGGUUGGGGAUGGACUCGCGGCUUAUCAGCUUGUUGGUUGGGUAGUGGCUUACCAAGGCUUUGACGGGUAGCAGGGCUGAGAGGGUGAUCGGCCAAACUGGGACUGAGAUACGGCCCAGACUCCUACGGGAGGCAACGGUGGAGAAUAUUGCACAAUGGGCGGAAGCCUGAUGCAGCAACGCCGCGUGGGGUAUGACGGGCUUCGGGUUGUAAACCGCUGUCGCCUGUGACGAAGCGAGAGUGACGGUAAUGGGUGAAGAAGCACCGGCUAACUACGUG